ACCCAGUAGGAGGAAAGGGUUCCCACAAACAGGCAGAAGAGUCAAUGACAGCCCCAGCUGCCACAGGACAUCAAGCUAUUCAGCCAGAACAUAUAUGUACAGGACCUGGGUCACAUCCUGACAGGCUCUCUGAUCUCUUCCAGCCCCAGACCCCCAGAGCUCCACUUACAACCGGUUUGGCUGUAGGACUCUGCAUCUGUUCCCCAUCAGUUACUGGAUGAAGUCUCUCUGGUGUCUCUGAUGAUUUUUUUAGGUUCUGGUCCAGAACACUGUGCAGGCAGAACAAACUAUAAGUGGAAGAUUUUGUGGCUGGGUUGGUGUCCCCGUCACUCGACUUGAGGCCUUGACUAAUUACAGAAGAUGGCCAAUUCAACUUCUGUGUCCCCCAUUACUAGGAGUCUUUGCUAACAUUACUCUCAUAAGUUACAUGGGGGUUUCCAUUGCACUGGGCUUCUUCCUCACCCCCAAAAUGUCCCCAAUUUGGGGGCAUUUUAAAUUCCAUUUAGGGAAUUAAACCCUAAGAUGUGUGGGUAGUUUU
rnacentral:lncRNA from 1 species